rnacentral:rRNA from 1 species
GUAGGUGGCAAGCGUUGUCCGGAAUUAUUGGGCGUAAAGCGCGCGCAGGCGGUUCGUUUAAGUCUGAUGUGAAAGCCCACGGGCUCAACCGUGGAGGGCCAUUGGAAACUGGAGAACUUGAGUACAGAAGAGGAAAGCGGAAUUCCACGUGUAGCGGUGAAAUGCGUUGAGAUGUGGAGGAACACCAGUGGCGAAGGCGGCUUUCUGGUCUGUAACUGACGCUGAGGCGCGAAAGCGUGGGGAGCAAACAGGAUUAGAUACCCUGGUAGUCCACGCCGUAAACGAUGAGUGCUAAGUGUUAGGGGGUUUCCGCCCCUUAGUGCUGCAGCUAACGCAUUAAGCACUCCGCCUGGGGAGUACGGCCGCAAGGCUG